UCUAGGGCCUUUUGUGUCUGGAUCCUAACAGUAUCAUAGUAUUUCCUUCCUUCCUUCCUUCCUCCGUCUCUCCCUGCCUCUUUCCCUCUCUCUUUCCCGCCUAUGUCCCCCUGCUGCUUCUCACUUUCUCUCUUCUUUUUCUCUUUUAGAUCUUUGAAAUACAACUUUAUUCUGCUUCUAAAGGAAAAAGAAUGGGAGUGGCAGAAACAAGAUUUCACCCUUGAACAUUGUGUUGUGAUUGCAGCAGUCUUAUACUGGAAACUUAAGAAGGAAACAGCUGCAUUCUAAAACAGCUAAGCACGUGGGUCCAGAAAACCAAGGCACUUUUCUUAGCUGCCAUGUUCACUCUGAAGCCCGUUCAUCUCCUUCAGAAUCCUAAAGAUGAAGUACACUUUCUCUCAGCUCUUGAUUGCAGUGGCAGACAGCCAGCGCCACUGACGUUACAGUUUUCCUAUAAAAACAGACAUCUGAUGUGGGGUUCCAGCUUCACUUUCUCAUGGGUCAUCGUCCCCAUUUGGGAAAGCAGCUGUCUGAGCAACCUUGAAAUCAUGCUCCUGUUGGAAAGGACAAGCAGUGCAUGUGAGCUGAAGAGUGAAGGGGUGGAAUGUAGUGAGUAUUUUUGGUUUUGUCUGCUCAGCAUUACAUCCUCCCGUUAUAUGCCUGUGGUAAUGGCAUCCCAGUUUUCUUCCCAGAACUGUCCCUCCACCUAUUGGACUGUCAACUCCGGUGUUCUUUCUUUCUGACUAUCCCACAGAAGGAAGAACAGCACUGAAGUCCGUUUUGGCAAUCUUCCUGCAAUGUACAGAAUUGAGUACAGUUUCCAGGAUCUGAUCUGCAGGGUGGGGGUUCCAAGAUACUCCCUGGAACACAGACCAGGAAAGAGGAGGGUCUAAACAACAGACUGGAGCAACAUUCAGAACUCCAAAGGCCCAGGUAACUACCAGAAAACCAGCCACCCUAUCUUCCUCCUGUGGUCAAAGGGAGGUAGAAUCAGAUUUUGUCCUUCGCUUCUGCCUUUCUCUGAGUUCUUGGCAGUGAAAACCAAGACUUGGGUAUCUGACUGGAGACAGGUUGGCAGAACCCUGUACCCAUAAUUGCAGAUCAGGUACCUCAUAGACUGUAGUUAG
rnacentral:lncRNA from 1 species